ACAUUCUUCUCAUACUGUAUUCACAGCAAAUGUGAGGCUAGCUGGGUCUUGAUUAAACUCUUGCAGGCUUAGAGAAAGCUCUUUUAAACCCUGAAUGGUAUCAUUUAUCUUAGACUUCUAGCUCUGGAAGAAAUCAAUCAUUCGAGCUCUGCUCAGGAAAAUGAUGUGGAAUGUAAAGUGUUCUGCCCUUGUAACCAGCACGGUGGAGCCGCAGGACAUGUUGGAAAUGACACAAUGAACCACUGUGUGCUCUUAUUUGCAGAGUACCUGGACAUAAUGAUGUGGGAAGGAGUGCAGAAGCUUUGCAUUUCCUGGAAACAUUCUCAUCCGAGGGCAGCUGUCAGUUCUUUAGCAAAAGAGGUGGCUGAAGGACAGAGGGAGAAACCUAUGAGGAACAAAAGCAUCCAAGGAGCAGCCAGCAUGAUGGACUACGGUAAUUAGGAAGCUCUAAGACCUGUCUAACAUUUUAGGAGAACAAACUGAACUCUGGGCAGUGCCAGGCACAGGGUGUGUGAAACAGGCAUGAAGCCAUCCACGCCCAACAUUCCACAGCCACCCCUCCAGCCUCUGCCCAGCAAGCUGCACAACAGCCCCAGCACCAACUGGUAAACCAGAAGGUUUGAGAAGGGUCUGUCACUGCAGUGCUGUGCAAACGGAUGGAUACAAAUUCUCUUCACUUGUGCUCUUUUAAGCACAUGUGCAUUGCAGGUCUCUUUUGACAUCUCAGGAUAAACGGAUAUACUCUAAAUAAGCG
rnacentral:lncRNA from 7 species